AGAACCUCAUGAAGGCCGCUUAUGAUCCUCGAAUCUCUGGUGUUUAUCUCCACAUUGAACCUUUAGGUUGUGGCUGGGGCAAAGUUGAAGAAAUUCGGAGGCAUAUACUGGACUUCAGGAAAUCAGGUAAAUUCAUAGUUGGCUAUGCACCUGCUUGUGGUGAAAAGGAGUACUACAUUGGCUGCGCUUGUCAAGAGCUUUAUGUCCCUCCAAGUGCUUACUUUGCGUUGUAUGGUUUAACAGUUCAAGCAUCAUUUUU
rnacentral:misc_RNA from 1 species